GCCGCGCCGGAAGCAGCCCUUCUCUUUCCCGCCCGUCCCCGGAAGUGGUCGUGUUCUGGUCAGCUGCUCGGCGAAAGUUCCGGAUCACGGAGCUGCACGGGUGGAGGUGGAGUUUUGGUUCAGGACUGAGACCCCAGGAGCCGGUUUUCCUAACGGCUUUCCCCGGGUCCCACGUUCCCCGUGAUCUGCACUCCGGACUAAGGCGCCCCAGAGCUCCCCGCCACGCUGUGAAUAAAUCCCAAACUCCUGGCCUCUGCCCUCUCCCGGCGCACCUCCAUCCACGGCCGCCUCCAUCCCUUCCAGCCCCUCAGGGCAGAAACACCUUCCCCCGCCACGAUCGGAUGACCCAAAAACAACUCGGACCCGUGUUUUUACAACUUUUUUAAUAUAUAUUUUUAUAAACAGGUCACGUGAUAAAAUAGCACAAGAAACACUUACCAAAUAUAAGGUUAUAUCUUCCGCAUAUACAGGAGAAUGAGGUCGUUAUGUACAGUAAGAAAAUGAUUUUAGGGGUUGGUUGGUUUUGUUUUCCUCUCUCCCCUUAAAUUUUCCUCCUACAGUCGUUGGAAAUAUCACAGCUUCAGUUGCAUUAAUACUUUGGACAAAUGGA